rnacentral:ncRNA from 13 species
AUCCUUUCGGUUCAUUAAAAAUGAUGAUUGGGUUGCCACGCGCCUGCGUGAGAUGUGCCGCCCUUUUGUUACGCAUGCGCACAUUACCCUUCUGAUC